rnacentral:lncRNA from 1 species
AUAUAAUUAUUUCUCUUAUGGUUGGGGCCUGUUAUCUAACUCCCACGUGAAUAGAUAUUUUUCGUAUCACACCGUACGGAGUGUGAUAUGAAAAAGUGAUAUCAAAAUAACGUUAAUUUGAUUGGCUUAUCUCGUAAAUUUCCAAUAUUUUCAUUGGCCGUUGAUCAGGUCAUUAUUCACUGGAAAAGGUCAUGACGGGACUACUUUUUUUCUUGACAACUGAUUGUUUACUUCCGGUUUUCGCGAUUUUCGUCUGCAUUAUCUAAUAUAAAUCUUAUCAUGGACGAAGAAAUAAAGAAAGGAACUCGUGUACGGUUAUGUAACGGAGCAAAGGGCAUUAUAACUGGCACAACUUCCAAUUUCAAUUUCCCUCUGUAUGCGACAGUAAAACUACCGAUGGACGUCCGCAAAGCUUCAAAUACAAUACAGUUAUCUCUAUUCUAAUGCAAAACAAGUUCAUAAUUAAAUUUCAAUCACAAUUUCAAUGUAAAAUCUUCAUUAAAGAAAAUUCCGCGAAAAGAUGUUAUCUUCUUUGGUCCCUACACUACGUGACGUCAUAGGUAUGCUUCCGGUGUCAUACAUAAACACCGGGCAUUUUCUGGCUUCUCUGCCGCUUCAGAAUGUAAUAAAAUUUGAUAAAAAGAAGAUUUUAAGGCGCAACAAGUGAGUUAUUUGUUAAUUAUUGUAGAAAUAACGUGUCAAUACACUUGUUAAAAAUAAGAUAACAGGCCCCAACCAUAAGAGAAAGAUCAGUACGCGUUGCAAAGAAAAACGGCCGUAGCAACACAACUCACAACAAAUAGGCCACGCACAUACAACUUUUUGCCAUAAGAGAAAUAGGUUUAACAACUUGUGAGAAUUAGAUAUCGCUUGAUAUCAACUCUCGUUAUUUAAUUUCAAUAAUAAUUAACUCGCCAUAGGCUCG